AAAAAAAAAAAAWWAAACAGUAUAAGUGACUUCCAAUCACUCAGUCUUGGCUAAAAUCCAAGGAAGGAUA
rnacentral:tRNA from 1 species